UACGGGGGGGGCAAGCGUUGUCCGGAAUCAUUGGGCGUAAAGCGCGCGUAGGUGGCUUCGUAAGUCCGUUGUGAAAGUCAAAGGCUCAACCUUUGAAAGCCGAUGGAUACUGCGGAGCUAGAGUACGGAAGAGGCGAGUGGAAUUCCUGGUGUAGCGGUGGAAUGCGCAGAUAUCAGGAGGAACACCAAUAGCGAAGGCAGCUCGCUGGGACGUUACUGACACUGAGGCGCGAAAGCGUGGGGAGCAAACAGG
rnacentral:rRNA from 1 species